rnacentral:rRNA from 1 species
CACCGCCCGUCACACCAUGAGAGUUGGCUGUACCAGAAGUUGUUGGGCAAACCCUUCGGGGAUGCAGGCACCUAAGGUAUGGUCGAUGAUUGGGGUG